GAGUUUGAUCCUGGCUCAGAAUCAACGCUGGCGGCGUGCCUAAUACAUGCAAGUCGAACGCGAAAGUCCCGCAAGGGAUGAGUAGAGUGGCAAACGGGUGAGUAACACGUGGGUGACCUGCCUUCGAGCGGGGGAUAACGUCCCGAAAGGGACGCUAAUACCGCAUGACAUCCUGCCUUUGAAGAGGCGGAGAUCAAAGCUGGGGAUCGCAAGACCUGGCACUUGAAGAGGGGCCCGCGCCUGAUUAGCUAGUUGGUGGGGUAACGGCUCACCAAGGCAACGAUCAGUAUCCGGCCUGAGAGGGCGGACGGACACACUGGGACUGAGACACGGCCCAGACUCCUACGGGAGGCAGCAGUAGGGAAUUGUUCGCAAUGGGCGCAAGCCUGACGACGCAACGCCGCGUGGAGGAUGAAGACCUUCGGGUCGUAACUCCUUUCGAUCGAGACGAAUGGCUUCCGGCUGAAUAAUCCGGGAGAAGUGACGGUACCGAGAGAAGAAGCCCGGCUAACUCCGUGCCAGCCGCCGACCGG
rnacentral:rRNA from 1 species